rnacentral:piRNA from 1 species
UAAUGAGGGAUGCACAAGAGGAGGA